UUAAGUUCAGCGGGUAGUCUUACUUGAUUUGAGAUCGAGUUGAACAAGGAUUUCUCCAUGUUUUCCUGCAUCAGUCGGGCACAAGGACAAUCGACCUUUAUAUUAGCUGUAGCAAUAGAAAUAAUCCGUUUGACGGGACUAAAUAGGUAAUGCUUAUAGCUCAGAAGAUGUGUCCAGCCGCACCUGCAUUUCAAGCAACC
rnacentral:misc_RNA from 1 species